ensembl:lncRNA
GUUAGAACCUCUGUGUGUCAGGACAGGAUCCAGUGAUCAUGUUAGAACCUCUGUGUGUCAGGAUAGGCAAGGCAGGCAAGGCAAUUUUAUUUAUAUAGCACAUUUCAUACACAAUGGUCAUUCAAAGUCUGUCAGGAUAGGAUCCAGUGAGCAUGUUAGAACCUCUGUGUGUCAGGACAGGAUCCAGUGAUCAUGUUAGAACCUCUAUGACAGGACAGGAUCCAGUGAGCAUGUUAGAACCUCUGUGUGUCAGGACAGGAUCCAGUGAGCAUGUUAGAACCUCUGUGUGUCAGGACAGGAUCCAGUGAGCAUGUUAGAACCUCUGUGUGUCAGGACAGGAUCCAGUGAGCAUGUUAGAACCUCUGUAUGUCAGGACAGGAUCCAGUGAGCAUGUUAGAACCUCUGUGUGUCAGGACAGGAUCCAGUGAGCAUGUUAGAACCUCUGUGUGUCAGGAUAGGAUCCAGUGAGCAUGUUAGAACCUCUGUGUGUCAGGACAGGAUCCAGUGAGCAUGUUAGAACCUCUGUGUGUCAGGACAGGAUCCAGUGAUCAUGUUAGAACCUUUGUGUGUCAGGAUAGGCAAAGCAGGCAAGGCAAUUUUAUUUAUAUAGCACAUUUCAUACACAAUGGUCAUUCAAAGUGUGUCAGGACAGGAUCCAGUGAGCAUGUUAGAACCUCUGUGUGUCAGGACAGGAUCCAGUGAUCAUGUUAGAACCUCUGUGUGUCAGGACAGGAUCCAGUGAGCAUGUUAGAACCUCUAUGACAGGACAGGAUCCAGUGAGCAUGUUAGAACCUCUGUGUGUCAGGACAGGAUCCAGUGAGCAUGUUAGAACCUCUGUGUGUCAGGACAGGAUCCAGUGAGCAUGUUAGAACCUCUGUGUGUCAGGACAGGAUCCAGUGGUCAUGUUAGAACCUCUGUGUGUCAGGACAGGAUCCAGUGCUCUUUCCCGUAUAACUGAGAUAUGCUCCUUUUAGCAAAGGGCAAUGUUUGCAUCUUUGAAAUGUUACAAAUAUGUUGGUUCAAUCAAAAAUCACCGUUAAUGGUGUGUAGCCAACAAAGUGUAUUCAGGGGAUUUUCUAUAGUCCAUUGUUUUACAUUUCUAAUCUUUUUUCUGUCAUUGUGUUUUAUGGCCAAUGUACAUUAAUGUUAGGUUCAUCUAUAUGCAGUCUUGUAUGGCUCAAAUGGUAAUGUUUAGAUAUAUUUUCAUAUAUUUAUGAAAUGUGAAUGUUUUUUUUUGUUUUGUUUUGCUUUUGUCUUAAUUGUGAAGGCUUCACUGAACAGGACCAAUAUUCUCAUAAUUCUUCUUUUCAAAAACAUGAGUUUGUAAAAAUAAACAACAUAAAAACUGACGUGUGUAAUGUAAUUUACUUUGUGUAGGUCACAUGCUUGGAAAAAUAGCAUUGAAUUACAUUUGCUGUCACGAGUCACAUGCCAUGUACAGUAGUAUGCUCUGUAGUUAUAUCCAGGUCUGUGUGAACACUGAUGUCCAGGUCAGUGUGAAGACUGAUGUCCAGGUCAGUGUGAAGACUGAUGUCCAGGUCAGUGUGAAGACUGAUGUCCAGGUCAGUGUGAAGACUGAUGUCCAGGUCAGUGUGAAGACUGAUGUCCAGGUCAGUGUGAAGACUGAUGUCCAGGUCUGCGUGAAGACUGAUGUCCAGGUCUGUGCGUGAAGACUGAUGUCCAGGUCUGCGUGAAGACUGAUGUCCAGGUCUGUGCGUGAAGACUGAUGUCCAGGUCUGCGUGAAGACUGAUGUCCAGGUCUGUGCGUGAAGACUGAUGUCCAGGUCUGCGUGAAGACUGAUGUCCAGGUCUGUGCGCGAGUUGGAUUGGUUAAACCUCAGAUGCUUUCAUUAGUAAUCUGAGUUAAAGUAAACACCCACGGGCAACCUGGCAGAUCCACAUCUGGCCACUUUGUUCUCCACUCCGUUGCAUUAUCUAUAUAUCCACACAGACAACUGAUUCAUAUUACAGAGGAUCCAGGUACAACAAAUCACAGCCUUGAGAGGUGCAACAGCUAUAUUAAACAGCACAAUCAGCGCCGGGGUGUUAGUUGUCUGGAGCCUCUGUAAUAAAGGGUUGUCUGUCUUCAGUAAAAUGUUGGUAAGCUUCAAAAACAAUUAAGAGAACACUGCACCUUUUUCUUUCCUUUUCAUAUAAGUUGAAAAGGAAAGUUUUGAGUGAGGAACAGAAACAUUCAAUUUGCAGUGGUCUAGUAAUUUUAACCCUUCUGUUCCUCACUCAAAACCUUCCUUUUUGACUUUUUUGGAAAGGAAAGAAAAAGGUGCAGUGGUCUCUUAAUUUUUUCCAGAGAUGUAUGGUUGACAGCUGCUACCCUUUCAAUGCAGUUCUUUUCCUGCGCAGGAAUCCAAACAUUUGUGUUUUUAGGGCAUGGCUGAGCAGAAAGAGAUUGGAGUCAAACUUUGACCUGAACUAAAUACAUUGUUGGCUAAAGAAGAAUGUAGGCCCAAAGUGCUGAGAGAGAAACCAGAUGAUAAGAGUAAGGAAAUGACGCUGUUAGCAAGGCCCACAUCCUGAUGAUUUGGCACAUGCUUCACCGCUAACUCAGACAAAAAAAAACACGAGACCGACAACCCAGACAGGUCUUGAGCAGUGUGUUGUGGACACUAAAUAAGUCGGUUUCAUAUAACUCAGAUUGUGACACAGUAUCUUCAGGCAUGUGUUUGCUUUAUAGGUACAGACUGUGGGAAAGAUAGACUUAUUGUUGAAAGAUUCAAUCUGAUUGACCAAGAGCAAUGAUAGCAUUUCGUCAAGCCAACCCUAACCUGGUCAGUGAUUUCUGAGAUAUCGAGGCAGUGGUGUUUAAGAAAUUGGGUCAGUGGUAUCUGAGAUAUUAGGUCAAUAGUGUUUGAGAUAUAGGUUCGGUGGUGUUUGAGAUAUCCGGUCAGUGGUGUUUGAGAUAUUGGGUCAGUGGUGUUUGAGAUAUCGGGUCAGUGGUGUUUGAGAUAUCGGGUCAGUGCUGUUUGAGAUAUCGGGUCAGCGUGUUUGAGAUAUCGGGUCAGUGCUGUUUGAGAUAUCGGGUCAGUGGUGUUUGAGAUAUCGGGUCAGCGGUGUUUCAGAUAUCGGGUCAGCGGUGUUUGAGAUAUCGGGUCAGCGGUGUUUCAGAUAUCGGGUCAGUGGUGUUUGAGAUAUCGGGUCAGUAUUUUUAUUCAAGGCCUUUUUAUUCAAGGCCAUUUGAACGGUACAACAUAUGGUUCCCUUCCUGUUGCCAUUCGUCUGUCCUGUGUAGCCAUUCACGUAUCCCCGAACUCGAAGCACAUCCGCUGACUACAAGACAUUAUUACCUGAUGGGAUGUUUUAAUCGUAUCCUGCUUUUGCAUUAUUUCCCUCUAUACAAACAGAAAAUGUUUAAAGAAAGAACAAUGAUAUAUGAUGUCAGAUGGUUCCACAGUGUGACUGCCCUGACAUUUUAAUAACUUUACCUUCUUUGACUAUGUGGUCAUAUUGACUGAUUAAUUCAUCUUAGCUACACAAACAUCAAACACAUACAUAUGUCUAAAGUCAUUUGUCUAAAGUAAUCUAAUCAUUACUCCAAAUCUUUAAGUUCCACAAACAAAUGGCUUUUGAGUGAAUAAACUUAAAUCUUUUAGUCUUUGUAGUCAGUUGCCUUACAUUUUUUGAGUUCUGAUAACUUAUUUGGGUUUACAGUGUAUGAGGCCAUUAUGAUUUAAAUAACUUCUAUACUUAACUUCUGGAAUGUUUCCCUCCUACGUGCAGUUUCCUCUCCUUUUUUUCCAGUGGUAGGGGGGUACUUGUAGUAUUUGGGGUGGUUAUUGUUGCGUUCCAUUAAUAACACAACAGGCUAGGUAGAGUGAAGGCUACAACCAUGAUUUAAAUGUAUUGCACAAACAUCCUCCCUGUACACCAGUCUCUCUUGCAGCAUUCCCUGAUAAUAACCUAUGUUCUCCCCAUCAAUGAACUAUUCUAUAAAACUGUUCAUGAAUCACCUCCCAGACUCAUAAUAAAAGCAACUAUCUAGCUACUAAUUAAUGAGGCAAUAUGAAUUCCAUGUACAGUAUAAUGUGUUGCAUUGGGAGUAAAGAAGGGGUAGAAAAUAUACCUUUCCUGGAUGUAGUGCCCCAUGAUUUAACAUUAUAUUCAUAACUUUAUCAGAAAAUGUAAAACAAUAAUAUCAUGAAUAUCAUUUUUAAUAUUAGAUAUGUUCUGUGCUUUAAUUAACUUAAACUCUAACCAUUUCUCAACUUGCUCCACUUAACUUAUAACUUAAGUACUAUUUAAAUUGUAUUUUUUUAUUUAUUUAUAUUUCUCCUGCAUAGUUAUUCCUAACAUAAUACACACUAUGCAGAUCUGCAAAAAACAUUAAAUUCAUAUCCUAUAUAUAAUGUAUCCUAUAUAUAAUGUAUCCUAUAUAUAAUGUUUAGAGUGUCCAAACCUUUGACUGGUAUUGAAUGUGUUCUGUUUCGUCUUGUCUCUCUCUGCUCGUAGGCAAAAUACAAAAAUCUGAAAUCUUCAUGUUGCCGCCAAAUGUCUAAUGUUGGCUGCAUGACAAUAAUCUAUGGUAGUUUAUUGUAGCUAUUGUUAUUUAUGUUUAUGUUAUUUUUAAUAAUUUCAUAUGUUUUGUAAAUACAUUUUGUUGUUGUGACUGUUUCUGUGAUUCUGUGUAAUUUGUGUAACUGUUGCCCCAGGGCUCCCUUGUAAAAGAGAUUUGAUUAUCUCAAUGGGACAUCCCCUGGUAAAAUAAAG